ACUCUGCAGCAGACUCCUCCUCUGCGCCGCCAUCUUGGAAGGACCCCCGCGGCGCGCCCUCCUCUGGGCGGAGCAACGAGUAGGGUGGCUAGAGCGGCUUAAGGAGCCACGGAGGACUGCGCCGCCGGGCGCGGACUGAGCUCUGAAGGACUGCAGGAAGGACACAAGGACGUGUGCUGUGGACGGGCCUCCUUCCCCUCUGGGGACAGCGAGCCUGGAAGCCAAACUCAAUGGAUCCUCUUCUCCCAGGAGAACGGUGCGCGUCACAUUGGAGUCUGCAGUCAGUUAAGACCGUCUCCUGCCGGAGGGACAGAGGCACCGCAGCCACUGGCUUUGGUAACCAUUUAAACAGCCAGAGUGAGCUCUGGGCCACAUCAAGCUGUCCCCGUGGGCGGGCUGGCCGGGGUGGACCAGGGUCCCCAUGCGCCGUGGAACACACAUCUGUGAUGACUGCACUGUGACCUUCCAGGCCCAGACACCAUGAGCUUUGGCUGCAACAGCCACCUUCUGGGAACCGAGAAGGGAAGGUUCCAGACCUCCUCUUAAGUCACAAGGAGGGCCCCUCACCCCGCAGCGCCACCCAGCCAGCAGAUGCCAGUCCCCCUUCGCCCUCUCAUACGGUGCUGCAGCCACCUGGUUUGCAGGCAGUUCCCUGAGAUGAUGACACACAUGGGAGAAGGUCGUGAAGGGACAAUAAGAUUCUCCCCUCGCCCACCUCCGCCCCCUUCCUUCCCCUUGCUCUGACCCGGAUCCCAGACCGAUGUUUGGUGGAGGGCGAGGAGCAGCAGCCGAGCCCUUGGCCUCCUUAUUCCUUCUCUACUGCGAGCAUUGUGUCCAGCGGCCUUGGCACUGGCCAUCUUAAUGGCUGCGUCAAUUGGAGAUGGUCGGUCAGGAAACUUCUCUGCAGCUGCUGUGCACUGAGGACUCACUCGUGCAUUUAAGAGCUAUUUAUUGAACUUCUUAGAGGCACAGGGAAAUGCCGCGGGAAGGGAGGAUUUGUUUUUAUAACACGUCAGCAAAGGAAAAAAGGAGACCCGUGGGGUGAAAUCUAGAUCUCUGUGGGAUCUGGGGUGCGGGGCGAGUGGGGUUUCCUGCUGCCCUCUCUCUUUUUUUGAAAGGUAUAUUUGAAAUGUCUCUUAAUAAAAAAUUCAAAAUUCA